rnacentral:rRNA from 1 species
AGUCGAACGCACUCUCGUUUAGAUUGAAGGAGCUUGCUCCUGAUUGAUAAACAUUUGAGUGAGUGGCGGACGGGUGAGUAACACGUGGGUAACCUGCCCUAAAGUGGGGGAUAACAUUUGGAAACAGAUGCUAAUACCGCAUAAAACCUAACACCGCAUGGUGUAGGGUUGAAAGAUGGUUUCGGCUAUCACUUUAGGAUGGACCCGCGGUGCAUUAGUUAGUUGGUGAGGUAAAGGCUCACCAAGACCGUGAUGCAUAGCCGACCUGAGAGGGUAAUCGGCCACACUGGGACUGAGACACGGCCCAGACUCCUACGGGAGGCAGCAGUAGGGAAUCUUCCACAAUGGACGAAAGUCUGAUGGAGCAACGCCGCGUGAGUGAAGAAGGUUUUCGGAUCGUAAAACUCUGUUGUUGGAGAAGAAUGUAUCUGAUAGUAACUGAUCAGGUAGUGACGGUAUCCAACCAGAAAGCCACGGCUAACUACGUGCCAGCAGCCGCGGUAAUACGUAGGUGGCAAGCGUUGUCCGGAUUUAUUGGGCGUAAAGCGAGCGCAGGCGGUUUCUUAAGUCUGAUGUGAAAGCCUUCGGCUCAACCGAAGAAGUGCAUCGGAAACUGGGAAACUUGAGUGCAGAAGAGGACAGUGGAACUCCAUGUGUAGCGGUGAAAUGCGUAGAUAUAUGGAAGAACACCAGUGGCGAAGGCGGCUGUCUGG